GACGAACGCUGGCGGCGUGCUUAACACAUGCAAGUCGAAGAUAGUGGCGAACGGGUGAGUAAUAAGUAGUAACCUGCCCUCCUUUUUGGGAUAAGCCUUGGAAACGGGGUCUAAUACCGACUAAAGGGGGAUGGGCUCGCGGACUAUCAGCUUGUUGGUGGGGUGAUGGCCUACCAAGGCGGUGAUGGGUAGCCGGCCUGAGAGGGUGAUCAGCCACACGGGAACGGAGACACGGUCCAGACGCCUACGGGAGGCGGCAGUGGGGAAUAUUGGACAAUGGGCGAAAGCCUGAUCCAGCCAUGCCGCGUGUGUGAAGAAGGUCUUCGGAUUGUAAAGCACUUUAAGUUGGGAGGCGUUACCAACAGAAUAAGCACCGGCUAACUUCGUGCCAGCAGCCGCGGUAAUAC
rnacentral:rRNA from 1 species